CAGUCGCCGCGGUAAUACGAAGGUCCCGAGCGUUGUUCGGAGUCACUGGGCGUAAAGGGAGCGUAGGCGGCGUGGUAAGUCAGAUGUGAAAUCCCGGGGCUCAACCCCGGAACUGCAUCCGAUACUGCCGUGCUAGAGGAUUGGAGAGGUAGCUGGAAUUCUUGGUGUAGCAGUGAAAUGCGUGGAGAUCAAGAGGAACACUCGUGGCGAAAGCGAGCUACUGGACAAUAUCUGACGCUGAGGCUCGAAGGCCAGGGUAGCGAAAGGGAUUAGAUACCCCGGUAGUCCCUGUCUCUUAUAC
rnacentral:rRNA from 1 species